GACGGUUUGGCCGAGUGGUCCAAGGCGUCAGAUUUAGGAUCUGCUUCGAACUGGCGUGGGUUCGAAUCCCACAACCGUCA